AUCCGGUAGUAGGCAGUAUCAUAGCUAAUGAGGUUAAUCCGAGGCGUGAUUAUUGCUAGUUGAAAACUUUUCCCAUUACCACUGCCUUGUACCGCUCUAUCUUGAAACACUAAUAACUUGG
rnacentral:snRNA from 1 species